rnacentral:rRNA from 1 species
GACGAACGCUGGCGGCAUGCCUAAUACACGCAAGUCGAGCGGAGUUAUGAUGGAGCUUGCUCCUGAUUAACUUAGCGGCGGACGGGUGAGUAACACGUAGGCAACCUGCCCUCAAGACUGGGAUAACUACCGGAAACGGUAGCUAAUACCGGAUAGGUAGAGAGGAGGCAUCUCUUCUCUAUUAAAGUUUAGAUACACCGAUAGAUGGGCUUACGGCGCAUUAGCUAGUUGGUGAGGUAACGGCUCACCAAGGCGAUGAUGCGUAGCCGGACUGAGAGGUUGAACGGCCACAUUGGGACUGAGACACGGCCCAA